UACGGGGGGGAGCAAGCGUUGUUCGGAUUUACUGGGCGUAAAGGGCGCGUAGGCGGCCAGCACAAGUCAGUUGUGAAAUCUCCGAGCUUAACUCGGAAAGGUCAACUGAUACUGUGCGGCUAGAGUGCGGAAGGGGCAACUGGAAUUCUUGGUGUAGCGGUGAAAUGCGUAGAUAUCGUAAGGAAGACCAGUGGCGAAGGCGGGUCUCUGGACAGGUCCUGACGCUGAGGGCACGAAGGUCAGGGGAGCAAACGGG
rnacentral:rRNA from 1 species